rnacentral:rRNA from 1 species
GAAUGCUGACAUAAGUAACGAUAAAGCGGGUGAAAAGCCCGCUCGCCGGAAGACCAAGGGUUCCUGUCCAACGUUAAUCGGGGCAGGGUGAGUCGACCCCUAAGGCGAGGCCGAAAGGCGUAGUCGAUGGGAAACAGGUUAAUAUUCCUGUACUUGGUGUUACUGCGAAGGGGGGACGGAGAAGGCUAUGUUGGCCGGGCGACGGUUGUCCCGGUUUAAGCGUGUAGGCUGGUUUUCCAGGCAAAUCCGGAAAAUCAAGGCUGAGGCGUGAUGACGAGGCACUACGGUGCUGAAGCGACAAAUGCCCUGCUUCCAGGAAAAGCCUCUAAGCAUCAGGUAACAUCAAAUCGUACCCCAAACCGACACAGGUGGUCAGGUAGAGAAUACCAAGGCGCUUGAGAGAACUCGGGUGAAGGAACUAGGCAAAAUGGUGCCGUAACUUCGGGAGAAGGCACGCUGAUAUGUAGGUGAAGCGACUUGCUCGUGGAGCUGAAAUCAGUCGAAGAUACCAGCUGGCUGCAACUGUUUAUUAAAAACACAGCACUGUGCAAACACGAAAGUGGACGUAUACGGUGUGACGCCUGCCCGGUGCCGGAAGGUUAAUUGAUGGGGUUAGCGGUAACGCGAAGCUCUUGAUCGAAGCCCCGGUAAACGGCGGCCGUAACUAUAACGGUCCUAAGGUAGCGAAAUUCCUUGUCGGGUAAGUUCCGACCUGCACGAAUGGCGUAAUGAUGGCCAGGCUGUCUCCACCCGAGACUCAGUGAAAUUGAACUCGCUGUGAAGAUGCAGUGUACCCGCGGCAAGACGGAAAGACCCCGUGAACCUUUACUAUAGCUUGACACUGAACAUUGAGCCUUGAUGUGUAGGAUAGGUGGGAGGCUUUGAAGUGUGGACGCCAGUCUGCAUGGAGCCGACCUUGAAAUACCACCCUUUAAUGUUUGAUGUUCUAACGUGGGCCCCUUACCGGGGUUGCGGACAGUGUCUGGUGGGUAGUUUGACUGGGGCGGUCUCCUCCUAAAGAGUAACGGAGGAGCACGAAGGUUGGCUAAUCCUGGUCGGACAUCAGGAGGUUAGUGCAAUGGCAUAAGCCAGCUUGACUGCGAGCGUGACGGCGCGAGCAGGUGCGAAAGCAGGUCAUAGUGAUCCGGUGGUUCUGAAUGGAAGGGCCAUCGCUCAACGGAUAAAAGGUACUCCGGGGAUAACAGGCUGAUACCGCCCAAGAGUUCAUAUCGACGGCGGUGUUUGGCACCUCGAUGUCGGCUCAUCACAUCCUGGGGCUGAAGUAGGUCCCAAGGGUAUGGCUGUUCGCCAUUUAAAGUGGUACGCGAGCUGGGUUUAGAACGUCGUGAGACAGUUCGGUCCCUAUCUGCCGUGGGCGCUGGAGAACUGAGGGGGGCUGCUCCUAGUACGAGAGGACCGGAGUGGACGCAUCACUGGUGUUCGGGUUGUCAUGCC